AGAAACCAAAUAUAGAAUACUAAUUGUAUAGUUUUUUGAUAACAAUUAAGUUGUUCCAUUUGGAUUAUAAAAAUAUAUAAUAGUACCUAUUUGGGCUCAUGUCAUAUGUUUUAUUAACAUGUACUUCCUGGUUUAUAUCAAAUUACAGAAUUUUAGAGUUUCAGAAUAAUUUGAAUUUAGAAAGCUAUUACUGUAAUUAUGUGGGGGCAUUAAUGGAGGCUUGUAAUUGUAAUGCUGAAAAUAUAAAUUAAUUGGCUUGUAAAUGAGACAGGUAUAGCAAGUAAAUGAGGUCCUGAGGGUAUAUUUUUAUUCAGCUACUGAGUUGCAGGAUAAAGUCAAAAUAUUUACCGAGGUUAAUGGAAUAAUUAUAUAGGAUUUAUCUAUACUAUUAAAAUUACAUUUAAAAUAUAGAGCUAUAUUGCUUACCUUAAAUUAUAAAAUGAGCUUUCUCCAAAUUCAAAAUGCUUGUAAUUCACAGUCAUUUUUGGAUUACUGUAAAAAGGUAACUAACUGCCUUUUUACAAUUAGGAAUUUAUUUACAACUUUCUCUUCCAAUCCAUUUUCUAGUCUUUUAUACAAAAGACUCAUCUGCUUUCAAGGUUAGUUCAUUUAAGUCAUAAGGUAGAGAGAAGCAAGUACAGAAUACAACACAGAACCACAGCCAUAAGGUAGAUUUCUCAAGUACUGUCCCUAAUGUUACCGGGGGUCCUUGCUUCCAGAGCUCCCAAGAUGGUGGUGGGCCACUUCCAAGAUGGUGGCAAGAGUCGUAUUCUCUGACCUGGGGUUCUUGGUCUCAUGGAUUCCAAGGAAUGGAAUCUUGCGCCAUGUGGAGAAGCGUCAGAUAAUUAGGCAGCAGUCCAACAAUUAGGUUUUGUGGAACUUUUACUAUGUCAUCUAUUUAUUGGAAUUCCCCCUGGAUACCAGGACCCCCUCCAGCAGAGCUUAAAGUUAUAGUUACAGGAAGUACAAAUUCCUUAUGUGGAUCCCUGGAAGUGUGAUGAGAAGAACCACUGUUUCCAAGAUCUAUUUAUUCUAUUUAUCAGGCCUAUAAAAUCAUGUAAUGGCCAUGGCUUCAACUAGACUCCACAUCUUGAAUCACAGAACUCAACGAAUGGCAUCAACUACAAGCUGGUAUUCUGCUAUACAUUUAAGAGGCCAUUUUAAUAUUCUAUUAGUCUAGCAGCUUCUAAGUGAUGAGGGAUAUGGGGGGACUGGAGGAUCCCGUGCUCACUUCCUUUUCUGUAAAAGGAGCUCUUUGAUCCAAGGUGACAUGGUAUGGGAUCCAAUGACAAUAAAUCAGUUAUUCUGUGAACCCUGAUCAAAACUUGACUAAACUUUUGACAGUUAGGUUUUUUCCUGACCACAGACUCCUCACCUUUCUUUUCUUAGAAAAUUUACAUUGGAAAACAGAUGUAAAUUUUCUCCAGCCUCUUGCAAGGUUUACAGUCCAGGACUUUGAGGUCCUGGGAGUCAUCCUUUUGAAAUACAAUCAUCAAAGAAGAUAGUGCUCCAAUCUCCUAGUCUCUGUGGGAGGGUUGGAACCUAACUUCAGUAAACUAAUCACCAAUUAGCAAACACAGAGGGGCUGAUCAUACUGACCCACUUUCCCACUAAAAUGUCUAGUACUUUCCACCAGCUCACCACAGUGCUUAAAAACUCUCCUGUCUUUUGUUUUACUAGAGUUGAGUCCAAUCUCUUUCAUCUAUUGCAAUAGUGUUGAAUAAAGUCUUCCUUGCCUAA